AGAGUUUGAUCCUGGCUCAGAACGAACGCUGGCGGCGUGGCUAAGGCAUGCAAGUCGAACGGGACUUACUUGAGGGUAACCGAAGGUAAGUUUAGUGGCGAACGGGUGAGGAACACAUGGGUAACGUGCCCCGGACACAGGGAUAGCAGCGUCCUUAGGGACUUUAGCGAAAGUGCUGGUAAUACCUGAUGACCCAGUAGCAUCGCAUGGUGCAGCUGGCAAAUGGUCCGCCGGUCUGGGAUCGGCCCAUGUCCUAUCAGCUAGUUGGUGAGGUAAUGGCUCACCAAGGCUUCGACGGGUAGCGGGCGUGAGAGCGUGGCCCGCCACAUCGGGACUGAGACACUGCCCGGACACCUACGGGUGGCUGCAGCAACGAAUAUUCCGCAAUGGGCGCAAGCCUGACGGAGCGACGCCGCGUGAAGGAUGAAGUCUUUCGGGAUGUAAACUUCUGUCAGAGACUAGGAAAAUUGACCAAUCUCAAAGA
rnacentral:rRNA from 1 species